GGAUGUGAGGGCAAUCUGGCUGCAACAUCUGUCACCCCAUUGAUUGCCAGGGUUGAUUCUGCUGACCUGGCUGGCUAGGUGGGUGUCCCCUGCCUCCCUCACUGCUCCAUGUGCGUCCCUCCCAAAGCUGCGCAGGUCAAAGAGGAUGACCAUCCCCGAUAGAGGAGGACUGGUCUUCGGUCAAGAGUAUACAAGUAGCUGUGCUCCCCUGCUGGAACCUCCAAACAAGCUCUCAAAGUCCGACGUCACAUGCAGAACUUUGAGAUUCCUUUGAAGCAUUAAAUAGCCAACAUCUCCUCUCUCUCACCAAAGUGCCCGUCUU
rnacentral:snRNA from 1 species